rnacentral:lncRNA from 1 species
GUGUUACAAAGUUUUAGAAACACGUGCUUAAUUUAAUGCUUGGCUUUUCUUCAGAGUCCAUUUAUUUACAAAUAAAUAAAAAACUAACAAAGGACAUGAGGGCAGUGCGUAAUAAACGAAAAACUCAGGCCAAACUUCAGGUGAAGCAACUCACUUCGUUUGAUAAAAGGCUCAUUGAAUUGGAGCGGCGUGUAAAUGGCUUAGCCAGAGAGGUUCGAGAAUACAAAAUCCAGUAUAGUGAGCCCUCCAAACAGUUUCAAAACUUUGAAUACCUAAUUGUGGAGUUGGUAGAAGGACCGAUUUUGGUGGAUAGCUCUUGAUUUUCCAAAGGAUCAAGAGGUCCAGAAACAUAGGGCACAAGGCCUAAUGUAAUAAUAGUAACGAAGAUAUAGCAGUCUCUAAGUGAAAAAGUACUUCUAAUUACUUAAAAUGUUAUAAUUCUUUUGAAUCAAUUAGUUUAAGUGUUAAGAAACAAAAAAUUCAAAGUUAAUCUGAAAAUGUAAGAAAAAAUAUGCAUUUACAUAGAAAUCUAAGCCACAGAAAGUAAAAAUUACUUUUAAAUGUUAUACCAAAAAAAAUGCUCAAAUUGUAAGCCCUUAUAAAUAAGAAGUGACAGGUAUAAUGCCGUUUUUAGUUCCUUUAAAUUGACCAUAUUAAUCCAUAAAACUUUACUUGUUAAGCACGCGCUGUAAAUCAAUGUUUAAGGAACUUACUUAUACGUAUAUGCUCAGAUUUUCAUUUUCCAUUGUACGAUUCGAAAGUUGAAGCUCAAAUCGGCGUGUAUAGCCAGCAGGAUAUGCCUGAAAACCUGAUCAAAUAUUUUGUCACGACCAACAAUUUCCUGAAGGGACAGCUCUGGGAUGUGCCAGUGUCCAAAUAUUAAAUGCCAUUGUGACAAACGCCGCCAACUGGCUAUGAAACAGCCAACUAUUGUCGAUGAUGAGGACAUGGUGGCCCAGACCACCGGGAACGGGAGAACUGGGACUCGAAUAGUCGCCGCUUGCAAUCAGUGGAUGGGUGUGACAAACGCAGUUGGCAAUUUCUUCGUUUAACAUGCAAAUUUCAACGAUUUUCAAUCACAACUCGGCACUCACUGCAGUUCCCUCUGCAUCAUUUGGGCAGUGCUGACGCCUUAGAUAGAUUUAAGUCUGCAAAACACCAUUUGAAAUGUAUUGUAAGUCACUAAUGAAACCAUCUACUUAGACCAUCUACAAUGACAACAAAGCUCAAAUACGGGCUGAUUUAAUGAAUAUUUACACUAAUUGGCAUUAAAAAGUUGAUAGACAUAUAAGUAUAGUAAGGUUAUUAAGUAAAUUUGGGAUAAUGUAGCC